UACGGGGGGGGCAAGCGUUGUUCGGAAUUACUGGGCGUAAAGGGCGCGUAGGCGGUUCGCUAAGUUGAAUGUGAAAACUCUGGGCUUAACCCAGAGCCUGCAUUCAAUACUGGCGGGCUAGGGUUCUGGAGGGGAUAGCGGAAUUCCUGGUGUAGCGGUGAAAUGCGUAGAUAUCAGGAGGAACACCGGUGGCGAAGGCGGCUAUCUGGACAGAGUCUGACGCUGAGGCGCGAAAGCUAGGGGAGCAAACAGG
rnacentral:rRNA from 1 species